UUUAUGGAGAGUUUGAUCCUGGCUCAGGAUGAACGCUGGCGGCGUGCCUAAUACAUGCAAGUCGAGCGAACGGACGAGAAGCUUGCUUCUCUGAUGUUAGCGGCGGACGGGUGAGUAACACGUGGAUAACCUACCUAUAAGACUGGGAUAACUUCGGGAAACCGGAGCUAAUACCGGAUAAUAUUUUGAACCGCAUGGUUCAAAAGUAAAAGACGGUCUUGCUGUCACUUAUAGAUGGAUCCGCGCUGCAUUAGCUAGUUGGUAAGGUAACGGCUUACCAAGGCAACGAUGCAUAGCCGACCUGAGAGGGUGAUCGGCCACACUGGAACUGAGACACGGUCCAGACUCCUACGGGAGGCAGCAGUAGGGAAUCUUCCGCAAUGGGCGAAAGCCUGACGGAGCAACGCCGCGUGAGUGAUGAAGGUCUUCGGAUCGUAAAACUCUGUUAUUAGGGAAGAACAUAUGUGUAAGUAACUGUGCACAUCUUGACGGUACCUAAUCAGAAAGCCACGGCUAACUACGUGCCAGCAGCCGCGGUAAUACGUAGGUGGCAAGCGUUAUCCGGAAUUAUUGGGCGUAAAGCGCGCGUAGGCGGUUUUUUAAGUCUGAUGUGAAAGCCCACGGCUCAACCGUGGAGGGUCAUUGGAAACUGGAAAACUUGAGUGCAGAAGAGGAAAGUGGAAUUCCAUGUGUAGCGGUGAAAUGCGCAGAGAUAUGGAGGAACACCAGUGGCGAAGGCGACUUUCUGGUCUGUAACUGACGCUGAUGUGCGAAAGCGUGGGGAUCAAACAGGAUUAGAUACCCUGGUAGUCCACGCCGUAAACGAUGAGUGCUAAGUGUUAGGGGGUUUCCGCCCCUUAGUGCUGCAGCUAACGCAUUAAGCACUCCGCCUGGGGAGUACGACCGCAAGGUUGAAACUCAAAGGAAUUGACGGGGACCCGCACAAGCGGUGGAGCAUGUGAUUUAAUUCGAAGCAACGCGAAGAACCUUACCAAAUCUUGACAUCCUUUGACAACUCUAGAGAUAGAGCCUUCCCCUUCGGGGGACAAAGUGACAGGUGGUGCAUGGUUGUCGUCAGCUCGUGUCGUGAGAUGUUGGGUUAAGUCCCGCAACGAGCGCAACCCUUAAGCUUAGUUGCCAUCAUUAAGUUGGGCACUCUAAGUUGACUGCCGGUGACAAACCGGAGGAAGGUGGGGAUGACGUCAAAUCAUCAUGCCCCUUAUGAUUUGGGCUACACACGUGCUACAAUGGACAAUACAAAGGGCAGCGAAACCGCGAGGUCAAGCAAAUCCCAUAAAGUUGUUCUCAGUUCGGAUUGUAGUCUGCAACUCGACUACAUGAAGCUGGAAUCGCUAGUAAUCGUAGAUCAGCAUGCUACGGUGAAUACGUUCCCGGGUCUUGUACACACCGCCCGUCACACCACGAGAGUUUGUAACACCCGAAGCCGGUGGAGUAACCUUUUAGGAGCUAGCCGUCGAAGGUGGGACAAAUGAUUGGGGUGAAGUCGUAACAAGGUAGCCGUAUCGGAAGGUGCGGCUGGAUCACCUCCUUUCU
rnacentral:rRNA from 1 species